CUCAACCCAGGUCUGUGGUUGCGGGCGGGCAACGCGCCCGUCCUAGUCCAGGCCAGACGAGGGCAAAGGGAUCCACGUAAGCCCGGGCGUGCGCGCCCUGGCGAUCAUGGCUCGUCCUAGAGGUAAGUCGUACCGCCCGUCAUACCUAUGAGGCAUCCGGCCUCGCGGGCGAGAGGGGCAAGAGUGGAGGCGCCGCGGCGCCAAAAGCAACGUCCCCGGUGCGCGGGUGUGGGGUCAAAGACCAGGUCAGCUGGGUGAG
rnacentral:ncRNA from 1 species